rnacentral:rRNA from 1 species
UACGUAGGGGGCCAGCGUUGCUCGGAAUUACUGGGCGUAAAGGGUUCGUAGGUGGUGCGGCAAGUUGGGAGUGAAAUCUCUGGGCUUAACUCAGAGGCUGCUUUCAAAACUGCCGUGCUCGAGUGCGAGAGAGGUCAGUGGAAUUGCAGGUGUAGCGGUGAAAUGCGUAGAUAUCUGCAGGAACACCCGUGGCGAAGGCGGCUGACUGGAUCGCAACUGACACUGAGGAACGAAAGCUAGGGGAGCAAACAGG